rnacentral:rRNA from 1 species
AAGUUCCGACCUGCACGAAUGGUGCAACGAUCUGGACACUGUCUCAGCCAUGAGCUCGGUGAAAUUGUAGUAUCGGUGAAGAUGCCGAUUACCCGCAGCGGGACGAAAAGACCCCGUGAACCUUUACUAUAGCUUAGUAUUGGCUUUGGAUAAGUAAUGUGUAGGAUAGGUGGGAGACAUUGAAGUGGCGUCGCUAGGCGUUGUGGAGUCGUCCUUGAAAUACCACCCUUUGCUUAUCUAGAGUCUAACUCAGAGAUGAGGACAGUGCUUGGUGGGUAGUUUGACUGGGGUGGUCGCCUCCAAAAGAGUAACGGAGGCUUCUAAAGGUACCCUCAGCACGCUUGGUAACCGUGCGUAGAGUGCAAUGGCAUAAGGGUGCUUGACUGAGAGACAUACAGGUCGAUCAGGUUGGAAACAAGAGCAUAGUGAUCCGGUGGUUCCGCAUGGAAGGGCCAUCGCUCAAAGGAUAAAAGGUACUCCGGGGAUAACAGGCUGAUACCGCCCAAGAGUUCAUAU